GGUAACCUGCUCGGGUUCUCUUCCACACUGUGGAGGGUUUGUUCUUUCUUUCUUUGUAAUAACUCAUUGUUGCUGGCUGUUUGGGUCCAUACUUCCCUUAUGAGCUGUAAGAACUCACCGUGAAAGUCUGCAGCUUCACUCCUGAAGCCAUCAAGACCAAUUGGGAGGAACGAACAACUCCAGACGCGCGGCAUUAAGAGCUGUAACACUCACUGCGAAGAUCUGUAGUUUCACUCCUGAAGCCAACAAGGCCACUAAACCCACCAGAAGGAAGAAAGUCCAGACACGCUGCCUUUUAAGAAUUGUAACACUCACCGUGAGGGUCCUUGGCUUCAUUCUCGAAGUCAGUGAGACUAAGAACCCACCAAUUCCGGACAUAUUAGGAUGCACAGUGGCCUGCCAGCACCUAAGAGGGGUCGUAUGUGCAGUGAGUUUACUGAAGUUGUGUACUUGCUCAUUUGAGGCAUUUUUCCCUUACCAGGCGAGUGUUCCUAGAGGAGGGUCAUAGAUCAGUUAAAGUUGGCCAUUUUGCCUCUGAGAGCUCAUGCGUGGGCCCACUCGCCUAACUCCUGAGAUCUUAUGAGGAAGCUGCUGCUGAUCACCAGCUUCAGGUGUUUUCUAUCUAUGGGGAGACUGCCUUUUCUUGGCACCAGCUGUGACCAGUUAUUAUCUUAGAGAGACAGUGUAGCAACUGCCUGACAAUCACCUGAUGGUCACUGGACAUUGCUGGUCGGAGGGACCCCUCUCCAGCCCUGCUUGUAUCUGCCUGACUACUUGCUCUAACAUCCCUACACUGGCUGCCCAGGAUGUCAGACUUUCUGGCUCUCCACCUGGGAGCCCAACUCAUGUUUUUGUUUUCUUCCAUCCGUGAAGCAAGUUUGACAAGCACUACAGCCCAUCAGCUCCUGCUGGUGACUCCUGACGGCCAUGAGCACCAGGACCCUGAGAAGCCGUGUUUGAAAGAUGGGGCCUCCACGUGAAAAGUAACUACAAAACAGAACCAGAAAAUAGUCAUGCUGUUCAAACAUUACACUCCAAGAAAAGAAACUCUAGUGUAUAACAGAGGGGCUCUGUCAAAAUUUAACAACAUAAAUAUUGGGCAAAUGAAGUUGUUUCUCUGGUGCUAUCUCAACCUGCCAAUGGAGAAAUAUCUCAAAAAGUCAAGAAUUGAAGCCAUUACUCAGAGACAGCAUCCUAUGGCAUGGUGAUCCAAAACAAGUACACCUCUACCUUUUCCCUUUCAGCCCCAAACCCCAAAACACUGGAGAAUAUUGGGGCAGGCAAGGCCCGUGAAUAGGUGAGCAGAGCUGGAAGAAGAGACUCCUGCCCCUGGUGGGCCUCAGGCUAUUUGUGGAAUGAUGUUUGUGAGAUGAACAUGUUCGCUCCCUCACCCGGAUGUUUUGGACAUAGGAGCCUGGAGUAAAGAGUGUAUAUCUUGGGCUGUCA
rnacentral:lncRNA from 1 species